rnacentral:lncRNA from 1 species
GACACCCACUUAACUUCGGAGUUAGUGGGACACCUUUCUUUUUGCUUAGUACGCUUUUCUGCUAUUCCUGCCGCAUAACUCUCUCUUCCCCAGGCUUUUCCCAUCUCCAUCCUAUUCUCUCGCAGGCAGGUUUUUCUUCCGCCUCUCUGGGGAUUUUCGCGUUGGUUCUCCCUGCCCCCAGGAGUGAGGCGGGUAACGCCCACGCCUACCUCCGGUGUGUGUUUUUGAAGUCGGAAAAAACUUAAUGGUUUCUGGGCCCUGGGCACCUUUCUGAUUCCCCAAGCAAACUGGCUGGAGGCGAAGGCGUGGUCUUCGGGGAGAGAGCGCCGGCGGCUCUCUGGCCCCGGGGACCACCUGUGUGCAGUUAGUGGGACGAAGGGCCUCGGGGAGUCCAUCGCCAAUGUCGGCAGCCGCAGCCGCUUCGGCCCCAUUCGGAAUGCCACAGCACUUGGUCCAGUGUGUUAUAUAACAUGCAGGCAGGGCUUGGACACCAUCCAUUCAUAACAUAGCGAGUGGUUUACAGCCCAGGUUCUGAAUUCAGACUAAUCUGAGUUGAGAUCUCCAUGCACCACUUAAACUUUCUGUAAGGCCUUAGGCAAGUAACUGAACCAACCCUCCAACAACCUGCGUCUCCUAUCUGUAGGACAAGACUAACAAUGGGACAGCUCUGUAGAAUUAUAUAAGUAUUAAGAAAAUACGUGGGAAACAAUUAGUGCAUUGC